CCUACGGGAGGCAGCAGUGGGGAAUAUUGCGCAAUGGGCGAAAGCCUGACGCAGCGACGCCGCGUGAGGGAUGAAGGUCUUCGGAUCGUAAACCUCUGUCAGCAGGGAAGAACGGUCACUGUGCUAAUCAGCAGUGAAUUGACGGUACCUGCAAAGGAAGCACCGGCUAACUCCGUGCCAGCAGCCGCGGUAAUACGGAGGGUGCGAGAGUUAAUCGGAAUUACUGGGCGUAAAGCGCUCGUAGGCGGUAUGUCAAGUCAAGGGUGAAAUCCCCGCGCGCAACGUGGGAACUGCCUUUGAAACUGGCAGACUGGAGUGUGUGAGAGGAUAGUGGAAUUCCAGGUGUAGGAGUGAAAUCCGUAGAUAUCUGGCGGAACAUCAGUGGCGAAGGCGACUAUCUGGCACAUAACUGACGCUGAGGAGCGAAAGCGUGGGUAGCAAACAGGAUUAGAUACCCCUGUAGUC
rnacentral:rRNA from 1 species